GUACACGCUGUGACUAGCAUAUCAAUAAGCGGAGGAAAAGAAACUAACAAGGAUUCCCCUAGUAACGGCGAGUGAAGCGGGAAGAGCUCAAAUUUGAAAUCUUAAAGGGCUUCCCUUUACGAAUUGUAGUUUAAAGAAGUGUUUUCUGUUGAGGUUUUGGUAAAAGUUCUUUGGAAUAGGACAUCAUAGAGGGUGAGAAUCCCGUAUUUGACCUUUACUUUCAACUUUGUGAUACACUUUCAAAGAGUCGGAUUGUUUGGGAAUGCAGUCCAAAAUGGGUGGUAAAUUUCAUCUAAAGCUAAAUAUUGGCGAGAGACCGAUAGCGAACAAGUACCGUGAGGGAAAGAUGAAAAGAACUUUGAAAAGAGAGUUAAACAGUACGUGAAAUUGUCAAAAGGGAAGCGUUUGACACCAGUGUUGUUUUUCUGAAAAUCAAUUAAAGAACUGUUUAUGCUAAGUUGUUUAGACUUUAUCAGCUAACUGUUUAGUUUUGAGCUUUCCUUUAAUGCACUUUUCAGUUAACAAGUCAACAUCAAUUUCUUUUGCUGUAAAAAAGCUUGAGGAAGGUGGCUUGAGAUUCGUCUUAAGUGUUUAUAGCCUCUUGCCUAUGCAGUCGGAGAGAUUGAGGUCUGCAGCGUAGAUCCUUCGGGGCUAAAUGCAUUUGUGCUAAUGUUAUAACAUUUUAUAGACAACUUGUUGACUAUGAUUUGUCUUGUAGCUUACUCGCUUAUGUUAUUUUACCUACGCUUAGGAUGUUGACGCGCGUGUGUGCGUG
rnacentral:rRNA from 1 species